rnacentral:rRNA from 1 species
UGAGGAAUAUUGGUCAAUGGCCGAGAGGCUGAACCAGCCAAGCCGCGUGAGGGAAGAAGGUACAGAGUAUCGUAAACCUCUUUUGUCGGGGAACAAAGCGGGACGCGUCCCCGUCUGCGUGUACCCGAAGAAAAGCAUCGGCUAACUCCGUGCC